GAUGAAGAACGCAGCGAAAUGCGAUAAGUAGUGUGAAUUGCAGAAUUCAGUGAAUCAUCGAAUCUUUGAACGCACAUUGCGCCCCCUGGUAUUCCGGGGGGCAUGCCUGUCCGAGCGUCAUUGCUGCCCUCAAGCACGGCUUGUGUGUUGGGCCCCGUCCCCUCCCCCGGGGACGGGCCCGAAAGGCAGCGGCGGCACCGCGUCCGAUCCUCGAGCGUAUGGGGCUUUGUCACCCGCUCUGUAGGCCCGGCCGGCGCCAGCCGACACCCAACUUUUAUUUCUAAGGUUGACCUCGGAUCAGGUAGGGAUACCCGCUGAACUUAAGCAUAUCAAUAAGCGGAGGA
rnacentral:misc_RNA from 1 species